CACACCGCAAAUAAACAAAAGAAUCGCAUGGGAUUAGCUGCUACUUCCUUUGCCUUGUGCAUGCUGGGGGUGGAAAGAGCAUACAGCAAAAACGCUGGACUUCAAGAGACAAUCCUGAACGGGUGGCAUGCCGGUGCCCAUCUCUCUGCUGUGUGAUGGGUGAGGUUUUGGGCACGGGCACGGUGCCCGCAGCCUGUGUCCCCCUCUGGUCGCGGUGGCACCAGAGACCAGCGUGGGCAGAUGCCACUCCAGCUGACCACGCACUGAAACCAAAAAGCAAAGGCGGUUUGGAGCCAGCCUGCGCAGGGAGGUGCCAUGUGCGGCAGAGGUUUAACAGAAUUUGAAAGCAGCCACCGCCACGACCUGGACCAAUGAUCUGGGCAGAGCGGCGGGGGAGUUUCGGCUUGGCGUCUCUGGCGCCCGUUACGAAUGCCAGCCUCGCUCCCGGCCCACGUGGAGCCCACGCUCGCUCCCGGUGCCUGCUCCGCUGGCCGGCCAGGGGGGAAGGAGGCGGGAGAGCAGGACGAGUGUUCUCCAGACUGCGAUGCAUCCACACGUGCCACCCCCUCCUGCUCCCCGUGCCUGUCAGUGUUGCCAUUUCACCCCUAUAAAUGAAAUUUCACCUUUUUGUGAUAACUCACAGUCAAAAUGGCCCAAAAUUAUGAUGUGGAGGGGGCAGGUGGAGGGGGGAGGCUCUGCCCCACCUGGGCCGGGAUGCAGGAGCAAUGCUCGCAGGGUGACUUCUCCCCGCAGGUAGGAUCCUUCCCACCUGCUGGGUCCGCUGACAUCACAGCCCUGCUUUUUGGGGUGAUAUCCAGGUGUUGCAGAGCAUGGUGCGGCACGAGCAGAACAGUGGGGGCAGAAGGCACCGUGCUUGGAUGCCUCCCACCUCAGCAGGUCCCGGGUUCACUUUGGGGCUCUCCAUCCCUUGAGUUGCAGCCAAGCUGGCCACGGAACGGCACGGCACUUCCAGCGCAAGGCUCCACCGGCCACAUAUUGAAAGCAUUAGGAGGGAGGGAUCUGGUUCUGCUCCCUCUCCCUUUCCUCCCUCUCUCGGUGAUGCAGUGGGCGCUGAGAACGGAGCCGCUUGGGCAGCAAGUGCACGUUCCCACAGCCCCUCGCAGCUGGCGAAAACCAAACUCUCCCAGCGAGCGCGGCUCCUUGGGCUGAUAUCCGAGAGCAAAUGCAAGUGUGUCCAAAAACAUCAAGCCCUACCCAAUUAACCCUGUUCUCCUCUGCGCAUCGCCACCGUGGCCAGGAGCAUCUCGGCUGCAGCUCCGUUUGGGUAAGGGCUGCUGCCUGGUGCCGGCCCCCGGUUUUGAAGCAGGGUGGCUCUGAGCAGGGCUGGGGUUCGCUGAUUCAGACAGCCCCUGCUUUGCAACCCCUCCGCCACCGCGUGACUAAUUCCUGGACUCACUCUGAAUCAGAGAGUAAAAACAUGCCGGUAAGGCAUUUUCGGGUCGGUUUAUUUUCUUGAAACAAAUAAGAACCGUACCCCUCGCUGUGCCCAAAUUAUGCAAAACAGGCAUCAGCGGCAAGAAAUGGGGCAGGCGUGGGGGGGAAACGUAACGGCAGCUGGGGGUGGCCCGGUUUUCGGGAGAAGCCCCCGGGAGCAGGGUGGGUGAGGGCAGUGGUGCUGUGCUGCAGCCACCACGUGCCCGUGGCUGCGCUGGGUUUCCCUGCCCUGUGGUUCCCGCGCCGUGCUGGAGGUAGCACGUGUUUGGGAUGUGUUUUUUUCUUUCUUUUCCCUUCUCUUGCUUUUUAAAGAAAUUAAUUUAUCCCCACAAAGCCUGAUGUCAGCAACUUUUACUCCCUUCCACGCCUGACAUUUAAUAGGUCUUGUUUUGAAUGGCAGAAAAUAUGGCUUAGUAGUUAAAUAAGGCAGGAGAGGAAGAGAGGGAACGGCAUCGCCAAGAGCAGUAAGAUCAGCCAAACCGCAGCGAAGCGCGGAGCUGCUCUUCCCGCCCCUGCUGGGAGCUGCUUGCGAUCGGGAGCCUCACUGCGGAGCUGCCGGCCCUGCCGCCCCGGGGACGCUCUCUGGCCCCGCCGUUUGCUUGCCCGGCUCCCACCCAGGGGUUUUGCUGCAAACCCUUGGAAACAAGACCUUUCCCAGGGCUUAGCCAAGCCCUGCGUGGCCUCCGCCUUCACCCCACAUGGGAGCUUUCCCACUAGAUUUGAAAACCAGAAGGCGUUCACCCUAUUCCCAUCCCCAUUUCUGCCUUUAGGUCCCAGAAGGGCAGUCCCAGCCUGCAGUUUUCCAUAGCAAAGGCCCUUUCUGAUGAGAAAAAGCCCCAGUGUUUCCCAAUGGGUGUAGCUGGCUGCCAGGGCGAUGACCAGGGGCCGUGGGAAAGCCUCCCCAUCCCUCUCCUCCCUAUAAACCCCGCACGCUCCCGGCCCCAUCCGCAGCCAGGAGCUGCAGCGAGGGAGCCCAGCAGGACGUGGUGCAGGAGCUUCAGAAAGGUGGCUGCGGGCCCCUGCUGGAACAGAAGGCGCCUGGGAGGCUUUCCAAGGAGCGCAGCGGGGAUGCCGGUGGGGAUGCCAGAGGUGCAGCGGUUCUUUCCCCAGAUGAGCGGGUUGGAUGCUCAGCUGGGAACCACUGCAGGAGCGCAGCUGAAGGAAACCCUCCGCCAUGCAGCGGGUCACAGAACACGCUCAGUUCUGAGGCAUCCAGCAAGAAAAGGAAAACGAUUAUUUUUGCCAUGCUAAGAAGAAAGCCACAAUUGGAGAAACUGCACUUUGAGCAAACUUGUGGACUUUUCAUCUCCCCAACGGGACUGGAAGGCUCUUCACUUCAAUAUUAUGUUCCAGCACUUCAGCAGAAAAUAAACCAGGCGCAAGAAAACGGCGCUGACUAAUAAAAGAAAAAAAAGAGCUAAUACAUCAA